CUGCAGCCAAUUAAGUCAACCGUGCUCAUUUAUUUCCUCAUGGGGGCCCAGUGUGCAAUGGCUGCAAACAGCAGCCUCCUUGGUAGCGUAUGCAGCCUGUUGCUUAUAUGGGUUGUUCUAAGAGAGACAGUC
rnacentral:snoRNA from 1 species